rnacentral:misc_RNA from 1 species
UUAAUAUUCUAUUUUACUGUGAACUGUAUUAUUACGAGAUGUUUGAGGGAUGCUUACCGACUAUAAGGAUAGGUCAGUAGGAUGUUAACCGAGUCUUGAUCAAGCUUUCUUUUUAAGCUUGGUAUCCUAUUAUUAUUUACCAAAAGAAUUCAGUAUAAAAUAUUGUAACAUAGACCUAAAAAAUCUAUAAAAACAACUUUUAACAACGGAUCUCUUGGUUCUCGCAUCGAUGAAGAACGUAGCAAAGUGCGAUAACUAGUGUGAAUUGCAUAUUCAGUGAAUCAUCGAGUCUUUGAACGCAUCUUGCGCUCAUUGGUAUUCCAAUGAGCACGCCUGUUUCAGUAUCAGAAACACCCCACAUUCAAAAUCUUUUUUUUGAGUGGAACUGAGCCGUUACGGUUUUUUUUAAUUAAAAAACUGUUCGCUUUAAAAAUAUUAGGCCUGGAAUUUAGUAUUUUCUUGUUUUGCCUGAACUUUUUUUUUAAUAUAAAGGAAAAGCUCUUGUCAAACGAAUGAAGUCUAAAAGCUUUGGGGCCUCUCAAAUAAAACAUUCUUAAAUUUGAUCUGAAAUCAGGCGGGAUUACCCGCUGAACUUAAGCAUAUCAAUAA